GACGAACGCUGGCGGCGUGCUUAACACAUGCAAGUCGAACGGAAAGGCUCCAGCUUGCUGGAGUCCUCGAGUGGCGAACGGGUGAGUAACACGUGGGUAAUCUGCCCUGCACUCUGGGAUAAGCCUGGGAAACUGGGUCUAAUACUGGAUAUGACCUUUCUCCUUAUGGGGUUUGGUGGAAAGUUUUUCGGUGUAGGAUGAGCCCGCGGCCUAACAGCUUGUUGGUGGGGUGAUGGCCUACCAAGGCGACGACGGGUAGCCGGCCUGAGAGGGUGAUCGGCCACAUUGGGACUGAGAUACGGCCCAGACUCCUACGGGAGGCAGCAGUGGGGAAUAUUGCACAAUGGGCGGAAGCCUGAUGCAGCGACGCCGCGUGAGGGAUGACGGCCUUCGGGUUGUAAACCUCUUUCAGCAGGGACGAAGCGUAAGUGACGGUACCUGCAGAAGAAGCACCGGCUAACUAUGUG
rnacentral:rRNA from 1 species